UAUCAAUAAGCGGAGGAAAAGAAACUAACAAGGAUUCCCCUAGUAACUGCGAGUGAAGCGGGAAAAGCUCAAAUUUAAAAUCUGGUGGCCUCUGGUCACCCGAGUUGUAAUUUAGAGAAGCGUCUUCCGCGCUGGACCGUGCACAAGUCUCCUGGAAUGGAGCGUCAUAGAGGGUGAGAAUCCCGUCUUUGGCACGGACGCACCAGGGCUUUUGUGAUGCGCUCUCGAAGAGUCGAGUUGUUUGGGAAUGCAGCUCAAAAUGGGUGGUGAACUCCAUCUAAAGCUAAAUAUUGGCGAGAGACCGAUAGCGAACAAGUACCGUGAGGGAAAGAUGAAAAGCACUUUGGAAAGAGAGUGAAACAGUACGUGAAAUUGUUGAAAGGGAAACGCUUGAAGUCAGUCGCGUCGACCGAGACUCAGCCUUGCCUCGGCUCGGUGUACUUCUCGGCCGACGGGUCAGCAUCAAUUUUGCCCCUCGGAUAAUGGCGAGAGAAAGGUGGCACCCUCUCGGGUGUGUUAUAGUCUCCCGUCGGAUGCGAGGGUCGGGAUUGAGGAACUCGGCACGUACCGUGCUUAGGAUGUUGGCAUAAUGGCUUUAAACGACC
rnacentral:rRNA from 1 species